AUCGAGGUUUUCAAGAGCCUUUUCCUUCUAAAGGGGAACCAAUGGAAGAUUCUUAACUCUGCCAACCUAGUGCUGAUACCCAAGAAAGAGGGAGCGACAACACCUUCAGAUUAUAGACCGAUCAGCUUGAUGCAUAGUGUUGCUAAAAUCAUCUGUAAGGUGCUUGCUAAUCGGUUGGGGCCCGAGUUACACAAAAUCAUUUCGGUCACUCAAAGCGCUUUCUUUCGAGGCAGAUCCAUCCAGGACAACUUUCUCUAUGUCAAGAAUGUAAUCAAAGAUGCCCACCAAAAGAAGAAGAAGUUGCUAUUCCUCAAGCUUGAUUUCGCAAAGGCGUUUGACUCGAUUGGUUGGGGAUACUUGUUGCAAGUUUUGGAGCAGUAUGGGUUUGGGAAAAAAUGGAGGGACAUGAUCUGUAUGUUGCUGGCCUCGGCCACUUCUAGGGUGCUACUCAAUGGAUCUACUGGCUUGCCUUUUCAGCACCGACGAGGAUUCCGGCAGGGAGACCCCCUGUCGCCGAUGCUAUUCAUCCUAGCCCUGGACCCCCCUCCAAAGAAUUUUGAACACAGCCACACAGUUGGAGAUACUCUCCCCCCUGUCGACGCCCUCUGCUAUGCUAAGGGCAAGUUUCUAUGCUGA
rnacentral:rRNA from 1 species